rnacentral:rRNA from 1 species
AUGGUGAUGUCGUCCCAGAAACAGCCUAGAAAAAACUUGGGAGAAACAAAGCUGCAACAGGCAUCCGCGCUGUGUUGCCACGGGAAGAGGGGAUCGAUGAACAUGCAUGUUGUUAGGCAGCGGAACAAGAUGGAUCGAGGAGAGAUGAAAGAAAAGCUUGAGAAAGAAGGCGUAAAGAUGGAGAGAUCGAAGGCAGAAAUCAGGAGGGGAUUCGAGAUAAUUUACCCCCUGCAGCUGCUGCCGCACUCGCAGCUGCCUCCGCAGCACGACAUGGUGAUGAUCUCACUCAACGAAAUACCUCGAGUUCAUCUGCUCUCAGAUCCGCGCUUGUUCUGCUUUGGAAGGGAAGCUUGGUGUGCCCGUGAUUUAUAG